GUGAGGGCGUGCGGCUUCCGUGAGGGAGCGGCGGGACCCGGACCGGGAAAAGGAACGGGAAUGGGACCGGGAAUGAGCCCGGGACCGGGAACAGCCACGGAGCGGGAUCGGAACCAGCAACGAGCGCCAACAGGACCAGGAAAACUUCUACAGAUCCCCACGGUGACACUGGCAGGGGACACAUCUCCUCCCUGGUGUCACAUCCAAAGUGACACCGUGCUUGGGAAUCAGUGGGGAGAGUUGUGAGCUCUGUGUGAACAGAGGGACGUGGAGCAGGAGUGUGGCUCUCCUCACUCCACCUGUGUUGUUCCAGUCCUGGAGCCUCGUUCUGGGGAGUUCUUUUAUUCCUUUCUCAUUUCUUUAAUUGACAAUAAAGUGUCCCUGCCCUGGGCAGGGAGGUUGGAAUGAGAUGAUCUUUAGGGUCCCUUCCAAGCCCCCCCAUUCCAUGAUUCCACGUUAUUUACACCAGCAGCGUUCCACCCUCACAAGCAGGGCUGAGGGAGGCGCAGGUGUGCUCACACAACUGAGGGUUUUAUUUAUAUCUCAGAAGGUGAAACAACAAAAGCAAAGGCAGAGCCCUCGGUGGUGCCACAAUCUGGGAUUCCCGCUCUCCAUCCCGCUGUGGCAUUCCCGUGCAAGGACAGCACCUGAUAAGGUGUGCUGGGAACAGGACAUUCCGGCGCUGUUUUCCCAAAGAAACCUGAUAACAGCAACAACCAGCUGCUCCCAAAGGGAGCCACAUCGGCAGCGAGGAGACCUUGGCACCCAGGGGCUUAGUGGCUCUCCCGACUUCGGGCAGCGGGUUUGUCACAGAGCCUGGACAGACCCCUGAAACAGAGCCGUGGGAGCUCCUGAGCUUUGGGGUUAACUCCAACCAGCAGGUUUGUCACAGAGCGUGGAAGAUUCCUGAAACAGACCCGUGGGAGCUCCUGAGCUU